rnacentral:rRNA from 1 species
AUUGAACGCUGGCGGCAGGCCUAACACAUGCAAGUCGAACGAGUGGCGGACGGGUGAGUAAUGUCUGGGAAACUGCCUGAUGGAGGGGGAUAACUACUGGAAACGGUAGCUAAUACCGCAUACCAUCGGAUGUGCCCAGAUGGGAUUAGCUAGUCGGUGGGGGAAAGGCUCACCUAGGCAACGAUCCCUAGCUGGGCUGAGAGGAUGACCAGCCACCCUGGAACUGAGACACGGUACAGACUCCGACGGGAGGCAGCAGUGGGGAAUAUGGUACAAUGGGCGCAAGCCUGAUGCAGCCAUGCCGAGUGUAUGAAGAAGGGCUUCGGGUUGUAAAGUACUUUCAGCGGUGAGGCGUUAUCCGCAGAAGAAGCACCGGCUAACUCCGUGCCAGCAGCCGCGGUAAUUC